rnacentral:misc_RNA from 1 species
GAACUGCGAUAAGUAAUGUGAAUUGCAGAAUUCAGUGAAUCAUCGAGUCUUUGAACGCACAUUGCGCCCCCUGGCAUUCCGGGGGGCAUGCCUGUCCGAGCGUCAUUGCUGCCCUUCAAGCCCGGCUUGUGUGUUGGGUCGUCGUCCCCUCCGGGGGACGGGCCCGAAAGGCAGCGGCGGCACCGCGUCCGGUCCUCGAGCGUAUGGGGCUUUGUCACCCGCUCGUUAAGGACCGGCCGGGCGCCAGCCGGCGUCUCCAACCUUUUUUUCUCAGGUUGACCUCGGAUCAGGUAGGGAUACCCGCUGAACUUAAGC